GCCUGACGCAGCGACGCCGCGUGCGGGAUGAAGGCCUUCGGGUUGUAAACCGCUUUUGAUUGGGAGCAAGCCUUUUGGGUGAGUGUACCUUUCGAAUAAGCGCCGGCUAACUACGUGCCAGCAGCCGCGGUAAUACGUAGGGCGCAAGCGUUAUCCGGAAUUAUUGGGCGUAAAGAGCUUGUAGGCGGUUCGUCGCGUCUGGUGUGAAAGCCCAUCGCUUAACGGUGGGUUUGCGCCGGGUACGGGCGGGCUAGAGUGCAGUAGGGGAGACUGGAAUUCUCGGUGUAACGGUGGAAUGUGUAAAUAUCGGGAAGAACACCAAUGGCGAAGGCAGGUCUCUGGGCUGUUACUGACGCUGAGAAGCGAAAGCGUGGGGAGCGAACAGGAUUAAAUACCCUGGUAGUCCACGCCGUAAACGGUGGACGCUGGAUGUGGGGCCCAUUCCACGGGUUCUGUGUCGGAGCUAACGCGUUAAGCGUCCCGCCUGGGGAGUACGGCCGCAAGGCUAAAACUCAAAGAAAUUGACGGGGGCCCGCACAAGCGGCGGAGCAUGCGGAUUAAUUCGAUGCAACGCGAAGAACCUUACCUGGGCUUGACAUGUGCCUGACGACUGCAAAGAUGUGGUUUCCUUUCGGGGCAGGUUCACAGGUGGUGCAUGGUCGUCGUCAGCUCGUGUCGUGAGAUGUUGGGUUAAGUCCGG
rnacentral:rRNA from 1 species